UUUAUAAGAAACACAAACGCAACUUUUAUUCGCUCACUAACAAACGAGCAACCGCGGUCCCAAGAACUUCUGGUAUACAGAGAGCGCUUCCGUGAAUCCGACAAAUAUUUCCUUCAACAUGAGAACUCUACUGUUUAUCUGCGGAAUCCUUCUUUUUGCCAGUUUUACGAAAAGCUCAGUAGGGAACCCAAUGGCAGGUCAAGCGGUGGCAGGCGCUUGUAGCGUGGAAAACGAAGAAUGGCAGAUCGGCUGUGACCAUUGCUAUUGCCGAAACCAAUCAGUGUUUUGUGAAACAAACCCUGACUGCGAGGAAGAAAAAUAAUGAUAAAAAGUACGAAUUUAUCUGGUCACAAAUAUAUAUUUGAUCUAUCAAGGCCUCUGUGUGAUUCUAAUCUAUAAUGUACCCUGGUUAACUUGUAGUUUAGUUCCUUGGUGUUCACUUUCACUUAAUUUUCCGCGCAAAGUCUAGGAAUUAGCGAGCGAGUGUCCUUCGAUGACGUCACGGGUCCAAGUUUGACCAAGCUGAGAACGCCUUUGAAUUAAGUUGGGUUUACGUAGAGUUAUCUAAUAAAAGAUAGUAAUGUUUGUUCCGCGCGAUAAAGUUGAUCUGUAAUCGAAGUGCUCUAAAAACCUUGAUGUAAACAAAGUAAUCAUUAUUUACAUGGAUAUGAAAUAAAUUGAAUAGUUGAGGUAGGUUAAGUUUGAA